UACGAAGGGGGCGAGCGUUGUUCGGAUUUACUGGGCGUAAAGGGCGCGCAGGCGGCGAUCCAAGUCAGGCGUGAAAUCCCUCGGCUUAACCGGGGAACUGCAUCUGAUACUGGAUGGCUUGAGUUCGGGAGAGGGAUGCGGAAUUCCAGGUGUAGCGGUGAAAUGCGUAGAUAUCUGGAGGAACACCGGUGGCGAAGGCGGCAUCCUGGACCGACACUGACGCUGAGGAGCGAAAGCCAAGGGAGCGAACGGG
rnacentral:rRNA from 1 species